GAACCUGAUAUUUAAUCGACAAUCCACGUUAAAUUUCACUUUAAUUAAAAAUUCAUAUCCCGCCAUCUAAAAAACUAAUUUUAUGAUAAUAUUUAAAAAAAAAAAAUAAAAAGUUAGGCCAGGGUGUGAUCAACUUUAAAAAAAUAAAGGGGUUACUUUAAAAACAACUUAGGGUUUUUUUUAUAAGAAUAUAAAAUGAAAAGGGAUUUGAAAGUAAUAAUAAAAUAAUUUUUUUUUAUAUASNANYAUNBBUAAAACCUAUUUAUAAUGGCGGCAUUUCAUCUUAUUAGAGGAACCUGUUCUUUAAUCGAUAAUCCACGUUAAGUUUCACUUAAAUUAAAAAUUUAUAUACCGCCAUCUAAAAAACUAAUUUAAUAAUAAUAUUUUCAAAAAAAAUAAAAAGUUAGGUCAAGGUGUAAUCUACAUUUAAGCAAAUAAUGGGUUACAUUAAAAAGAAUUUAAGGAUACCUUUAAAAAAAUAAAUUUUGAAAAAGGAUUUAAAAGUAGUGAUAAAAUAAUACUUCAUCUCG
rnacentral:rRNA from 1 species